UCCUGGCUUAGGAUGAACGCUAGCGACAGGCCUAACACAUGCAAGUCGAGGGCAGCACAAGGAGCAAUCUGAGGUGGCGACCGGCGCACGGGUGAGUAACACGUAUGCAAACCUGGCUGUAAGAGGGGGAAUAACCCGGAGAAAUCCGGACUAAUACCGCAUAAUACUUAGAAUCCGCAUGGAUUUAGUAACAUUUAUGGCUUACAGAUGGGCAAUGCGUAUGAUUAGCUGGUUGGAGAGGUAACGGCUCCCCAAGGCAACGAUCAUUAGGGGUUCUGAGAGGAAGGUCCCCCACACUGGUACUGAGACACGGACCAGACUCCUACGGGAGGCAGCAGUGAGGAAUAUUUGGUCAAUGGACGCAAGUCUGAACCAGACCCAAGUCGCGUGAAGGAAGAAUGUCCUAUGGAUUGUAAACUUCUUUUGAAGGGGAAUAAAGUACGGUACGUGUACCGUUUUGUAUGUACCCUUCGAAUAAGGAUCGGCUAACUCCGUGCCAGCCGCCGC
rnacentral:rRNA from 1 species